rnacentral:rRNA from 1 species
UGGGGAAUUUUGCGCAAUGGGGGAAACCCUGACGCAGCAACGCCGCGUGAGUGAUGAAGGCCUUAGGGUCGUAAACCUCUGUUGUGUGGGAAGAAGAGCGUGACGGUACCACAAGAGGAAGUCCCGGCUAACUACGUGCCAGCAGCCGCGGUAAUACGUAGGGGACGAGCGUUGUCCGGAUUUACUGGGCGUAAAGGGCGCGUAGGCGGUCAUUUAAGUCAGCUGUGAAAUGGUUUGGCUUAACCGGAUCAUGCGGUUGAAACUGGAUGACUGGAGUGCUGGAGAGGCAAGUGGAAUUCCCAGUGUAGCGGUGAAAUGCGUAGAUAUUGGGAAGAACGCCGGUGGCGAAGGCGACUUGCUGGCCAGCAACUGACGCUGAGGCGCGAAAGCCAGGGGAGCAAACG